UACAGAGGUCCCGAGCGUUGUUCGGAUUCACUGGGCGUAAAGGGUGCGUAGGUGGCUUGAAAGUUUGAUGUGAAAGCUCAGGGCUUAACCCUGAAAUGGCAUUGAAUACUGUCGAGCUGGAGGUUUGGAGGGGGACUGGAAUUCUUGGUGUAGCAGUGAAAUGCGUAGAUAUCAAGAGGAACACCAGUGGCGAAGGCGAGUCCCUGGACAACACCUGACACUGAGGCACGAAAGCUAGGGGAGCAAACAGG
rnacentral:rRNA from 1 species